CCUACGGGUGGCAGCAGUGGGGAAUAUUGCACAAUGGGGGAAACCCUGAUGCAGCGACGCCGCGUGAGUGAAGAAGUAUUUCGGUAUGUAAAGCUCUAUCAGCAGGGAAGAAAAUGACGGUACCUGAGUAAGAAGCCCCGGCUAACUACGUGCCAGCAGCCGCGGUAAUACGUAGGGGGCAAGCGUUAUCCGGAUUUACUGGGUGGAAAGGGAGCGGAGACGGCAGCACAAGUCUGGAGUGAAAUGCCGGGGCUUAACCCCGGAACUGCUUUGGAAACUGUGUAGCUAGAGUGCAGGAGAGGUAAGUCGAAUUCCUCUUGUAGCGGUGAAAUGCGUAGAUAUUAGGAGGAACACCAGUGGCGACGGCGGCUUACUGGACUGUACCUGACGUUGAGGCUCGAACGCGUGGGGAGCAAACCGGAUUAGAUACCCCUGUAGUC
rnacentral:rRNA from 1 species